AUGAAAAUACUACAUUACAGUGUGGUAGAGAGCCUAAUUUGAACACAUGAAUUAAUGAGUGGAAUAAAAUGUUAAUGGAAAAUAAAAACUUUUAGGGAAUAACGUAAUUGUAUAAAGUGCCUUUUUAAGUACAGUUAUGGAGGGGGAUUAAAAUGUCAAAGUCAGAUAAAUAGAUAAUAUGAAAUAAACAGCAAAAAUGACAUGAUAAAAAUGAUAGUGUGCUUGUAGAAAUAAUUUAGAAGUUGUGAAAUGUUUCAAGUAAUUCAUGGUCACCAAGCCCACCAAAGCAGCACCUAAACAAUAUCUGAACCAUUUAUGUAAUAUCAUGGCAAAAAUAACAAUGCUAAAGA